rnacentral:tRNA from 1 species
GGAGUUGUGGCUCAACGGUAGAAUGCUCGCCUUACACAUGUGAGGCUCUGGGUUCGAUCCUCAGCACCACCU